CCCUUAGAUGCUCUGGGCCGCACGCGCGCUACACUGGUCGAUGCAACGAGUUUCUUUCCUUGGCCGACAGGCCUGGGCAAUCUUUGAACAUCGAUCGUGAUCGGGAUAGAUUCUUGUAAUUUUUGAUCUUAAACGAGGAAUUCCUAGUAAACGCAAGUCAUCAGCUUGCAUUGAUUACGUCCCUGCCCUUUGUUCACACCGCCCGUCGCACCUACCGAUUGAAUGGUCCGGUGAAAUCUCCGGACUGGCGUGAGUCGGAGCAAUCUGACAAACGCCGGAAAGUUGAUUAAACCUUACCAUUUAGAGGAAGGUGAAGUCGUAACA
rnacentral:rRNA from 1 species